rnacentral:rRNA from 1 species
GGUGAACGCUGGCGGCGUGCCUAAUACAUGCAAGUCGAGCGAACAGACGAGGAGCUUGCUCCUCUGACGUUAGCGGCGGACGGGUGAGUAACACGUGGAUAACCUACCUAUAAGACUGGGAUAACUUCGGGAAACCGGAGCUAAUACCGGAUAAUAUAUUGAACCGCAUGGUUCAAUAGUGAAAGACGGUUUUGCUGUCACUUAUAGAUGGAUCCGCGCCGCAUUAGCUAGUUGGUAAGGUAACGGCUUACCAAGGCAACGAUGCGUAGCCGACCUGAGAGGAUGAUCGGCCACACUGGAACUGAGACACGGUCCAGACUCCUACGGGAGGCAGCAGUAGGGAAUCUUCCGCAAUGGGCGAAAGCCUGACGGAGCAACGCCGCGUGAGUGAUGAAGGUCUUCGGAUCGUAAAACUCUGUUAUUAGGGAAGAACAAAUGUGUAAGUAACUAUGCACGUCUUGACGGUACCUAAUCAGAAAGCCACGGCUAACUACGUG